rnacentral:rRNA from 1 species
GAACGGUGAACCUCCUUCGGGAGGGGAUCAGUGGCGAACGGGUGAGUAACACGUGAGCAACCUGCCCCAGACUCUGGGAUAACUCCGGGAAACCGGUGCUAAUACCGGAUACGAGACGCUCAGGCAUCUGAUGCGUCUGGAAAGUUUUUCGGUCUGGGAUGGGCUCGCGGCCUAUCAGCUUGUUGGUGGGGUAACGGCCCACCAAGGCGACGACGGGUAGCCGGCCUGAGAGGGCGACCGGCCACACUGGGACUGAGACACGGCCCAGACUCCUACGGGAGGCAGCAGUGGGGAAUAUUGCGCAAUGGGCGAAAGCCUGACGCAGCGACGCCGCGUGAGGGACGAAGGCCUUCGGGUUGUAAACCUCUUUCAGCAGGGAAGAAGCGAAAGUGACGGUACCUGCAGAAGAAGCACCGGCUAACUACGUGCCAGCAGCCGCGGUAAUACGUAGGGUGCAAGCGUUGUCCGGAAUUAUUGGGCGUAAAGAGCUCGUAGGCGGUCUGUCGCGUCUGCCGUGAAAACUCGGGGCUCAACCCCGGGCCUGCGGUGGGUACGGGCAGACUAGAGUGCGGUAGGGGAGACUGGAAUUCCUGGUGUAGCGGUGAAAUGCGCAGAUAUCAGGAGGAACACCGGUGGCGAAGGCGGGUCUCUGGGCCGUAACUGACGCUGAGGAGCGAAAGCGUGGGGAGCGAACAG